AAAAAAGUUUUUCACAAUAAUACUCAGCCUAAUUCAGUCUUCAGGCGUCAGCAAGGCUGCAGCUGUUCACACCAGUACUGAAUUGGGCUCUCAGUGUUCAUUUCACUAAUCCAUUAUUUAGUAUGAAUGUUGUUAAUAUUUUGCUAAUCAAAUUGUAGCCUCUCCAUUUUUCUGUUAUUCCCAGCAUCAUUUUCUCACUUGUCAUAAGUUAAUGCGGUAAUGCACAGUUUGUAAAAUUAUAUCCCUCAUCUUAAAUACAGAAGGAAAAAACAAGUUUCUAAUGUUUAUUUAUACUCCUGUUAAUUCAAACGCUCCUUGAAUUUAGGGCCAUGCUUGCUGCCCUGGGCAGCCGUUCCACGCCCACAGCCCUGUGGUGAGGAACGCGUCCCUGCGCAGGAAGGCUGCGUAGUGAGUCCAGAAGUCUCGGCGAGUCAGGAGGCACACCGAGCUUAACGCUAAAACAGCUUUCUCAGCUGAGAGGAGUAAAUCGGGGUCUCCUUCCUUUAAAUCUUCGCAACCGUGGGCACCCAAGCGAAAAGCAGGCGGCUUUUUGAGGGCUGGAGCGCCUGAGGCGUAACCGGCGGCAGCAACGAGCAGCCGAGGCGACCGUUGGGGUGCCGGCAGUCCCGCCCUCUGUCCGCGCCAGCCAACAGCAGUGCCGCCUCCUCCUGCCCUUUCGAAAGGAGAAAAGGAGCGGGGGCGGAGAGAAGGCAGAGCGCAGCGGAGACUGGCUGUCCCGUCCUGAUCGGGCGGUCCAUCCGCAGGCGCUCGGUGUGAUUGGUCGGUUUGCAGGGAGGGGGGCGGGGUGCUUGUGCGGCAAUGGAGGCGGUUGUGUGCGCGGAGCACGGCUCCCUCUGCCUUCUGAAGACCGGCGUCCGCGAUGGCCCCAACAAGGGGAAGAGCUUCUACGUGUGCGGGGCUCAGGGCUCGGCGCCGUGCGGCUUCGUCCUGCCGGCUGAUGUUCCUCCUUCGUACUGUUUGGUCCAUGAGGGGCACAUG